GCAUGGGUAGCGAAGAGGCCGAACGCAGAAGUUGUUAAGUCCGCCGCCGGUUCAAAUCCGGCCCCAUGCACCA
rnacentral:tRNA from 4 species